CCUACGGGAGGCAGCAGUUAGGAAUAUUGGACAAUGGGCGCAAGCCUGAUCCAGCCAUGCCGCGUGAGUGAUGAAGGCCUUCGGGUUGUAAAGCUCUUUAGUCCACGUCUGUAGUGGAAGAAUAAGCCCCGGCUAACUUCGUGCCAGCAGCCGCGGUAAUACGAAGGGGGCGAGCGUUGUUCGGAAUCACUGGGCGUAAAGAGUGCGUAGGCGGUUAUGAAAGUUAGAAGUGAAAGCCCAGGGCUCAACCCUGUAAUUGCUUUUAAAACUACAUGACUUGAAUUCGGGAGAGGAUAGCGGAAUUGUCAGUGUAGCAGUGAAAUGCGUAGAUAUUGACAGGAACACCAGUGGCGUAAGCGGCUAUCUGGACCGCUUGACGCUGAGGCACGAAAGCGUGGGGAUCAAACAGAUUAGAUACCCUUGUAGUC
rnacentral:rRNA from 1 species